CUCUCGGCAACGGAUAUCUCGGCUCUCGCAUCGAUGAAGAACGUAGCGAAAUGCGAUACUUGGUGUGAAUUGCAGAAUCCCGUGAACCAUCGAGUCUUUGAACGCAAGUUGCGCCCGGNGCCCCUCGGCCGAGGGCACGCCUGCCUGGGCGUCACGCCACCCAU
rnacentral:rRNA from 1 species